ACCAGGGUGAGGCUCACCCCUUGCACUCUGGGCAUGCUGACCCCUGUGAUUUCCCCAAAUGCGGGAAAUUCGACUGCAUAAUUUGUGGUAGUGGGGGACUGCGUGCACACUUUCCCC